rnacentral:rRNA from 1 species
AUACGAAGGGGGCUAGCGUUGUUCGGAAUUACUGGGCGUAAAGCGCGCGUAGGCGGACUGAUCAGUUGGGGGUGAAAUCCCAGGGCUUAACCCUGGAACUGCCUCCAAUACUGUCAGUCUUGAGUUCGGGAGAGGUGAGUGGAAUUCCUAGUGUAGAGGUGAAAUUCGUAGAUAUUUGGAAGAACACCAGUGGCGAAGGCGGCUCACUGGCCCGAUACUGACGCUGAGGCGCGAAAGCGUGGGGAGCAAACAGGAUUAGAAACCCUAGUAGUCC